rnacentral:rRNA from 1 species
GAUGAACGCUGGCGGCGUGCCUAAUACAUGCAAGUCGAGCGAACGGACGAGAAGCUUGCUUUUCUGAUGUUAGCGGCGGACGGGUGAGUAACACGUGGAUAACCUACCUAUAAGACUGGGAUAACUUCGGGAAACCGGAGCUAAUACCGGAUAAUAUUUUGAACCGCAUGGUUCAAAAGUGAAAGACGGUCUUGCUGUCACUUAUAGAUGGAUCCGCGCUGCAUUAGCUAGUUGGUAAGGUAACGGCUUACCAAGGCAACGAUGCAUAGCCGACCUGAGAGGGUGAUCGGCCACACUGGAACUGAGACACGGUCCAGACUCCUACGGGAGGCAGCAGUAGGGAAUCUUCAGCAAUGGGCGAAAGCCUGACGGAGCAACGCCGCGUGAGUGAUGAAGGUCUUCGGAUCGUAAAACUCUGUUAUUAGGGAAGAACAUAUGUGUAAGUAACUGUGCACAUCUUGACGGUACCUAAUCAGAAAGCCACGGCUAACUACGUG